AUAUUAAAAUAGUGCAAAGAUGAAUUUACUACGAAAAGGAAUUUCGCUGUUAUCUAUUGGAUUAAGAAUCCAAUGCCCUGCUUAUAGUGAGUUAAAGAUUGUCCCGGUGUGAAGCUGAAAUGCGUCCGAGGUAAAUUCGACUUGCCGCACGUCAUCAAGCAGAAAGUGUAGUAGUCUGUUAUAUCCAGUUGUGUAAGGUUAUUUGUAGCGAAAUAAGUCUAGUUUAAGUACA